CCUUAGUGUAUUUAAAUUCAAAAAAACAAACAGAACAAAGAAAAACGACGCUGUCAAAUUAAAAAAAAAUAAAUAAACAAAUUUUUGAAAUGGCUGAAAUAAACAACAGGAAAAGAAAACUUUCAUCAGAAGAUUGUCAAGAAAAUGCCAGCAAAAAGAAAACGCUUAAUGAAAAUGAUCCUGUUACAAAUGCUGAUGUGGUAAGUUAUUUUUUGUUGUUUUCAUUUUAUCAAAAGCAGAUAUUUAAUUUAUAAAUAAAACAUUAAGAACCCAGAUUUGGAUACAACACCUACAACAAUAAAUAAAUCCGAAAAUAUCCAAACAAUACCCAAGUCAGCCAUUCAAUCUUUUUCACGAUUAAUUCCUCGAAAUGUUGUCGGUACGAUUGGGAGAAAAACAUCAUUAUUCACAAGACGCACUUUACGUUCAAGACGAAGCUCUUUACAAACCUAUAAUCAAAGUAAUAACUGGGACACGAUGUCUCCCUUGGAAGACGAAGACAACAACUCACAAGGAGAUGCAACCCAGAAGCGAAAUCAAACCCUCCACAAGUAUUAUACACUUAAACUAAGAAAACUCAAGGAAAAGUUCAAAACAAAGCGACAAAUAAUAA